CCCGACUGCUAUUUGGGUGAGGAUAAGCCAUGCGAGUCGAAUGGGAUACCUAAAUUUCCCAUGGCGAACUGCUCAGUAACACAUGAUCAACUUACCCUAUUGAGAAAGAUAACCUCGGGAAACUGAGGAUAAUAUUUCAUAGUUGAAUUGGCUUGGAAAAGUUUUUCAACAAAAGGGAUAGGGAAAAUGGUCUCUAUCCGCUAUAGGAUAGGAUCGUGUUCGAUUAUGGUAGUUGGUGAGGUAACGGCUCACCAAGCCGAUAAUCGAUAGGGGCCGUGAGAGCGGGAGCCCCGAGAUGGGUACUGAGACAACGACCCAGGCCUUACGAGGCGCAGCAGGUACGAAACCUCCACAAUACACGAAAGUGUGAUGGGGUUACCCAAAGUGUUCAUUAUUGAACUGUGGUAGGAGAGUAAUGUCCCCUACUAGAAAGGAGAGGGCAAGGCUGGUGCCAGCCGCCGCGGUAAAACCAGCUCUUCAAGUGGUCGGGAUAAUUAUUGGGCUUAAAGUGUCCGUAGCCGGUUUGGUAAGUUCCUGGUAAAAUCGGAUAGCUUAACUAUCUGUAUGCUAGGAAUACUGCUAUACUAGAGGGCGGGAGAGGUCUGAGGUACUACAGGGGUAGGGGUGAAAUCUUAUAAUCCUUGCAGGACCACCAGUGGCGAAGGCGUCAGACUGGAACGCGCCUGACGGUGAGGGACGAAAGCCAGGGG
rnacentral:rRNA from 1 species